rnacentral:rRNA from 1 species
GACAGAGGGUGCAAACGUUGUUCGGAAUUACUGGGCGUAAAGCGCGUGUAGGCGGCCUUCUAAGUCGAACGUGAAAUCCCCGGGCUCAACCCCGGGAACUGCGUCCGAUACUGGAAGGCUUGAAUCCGGGAGAGGGAUGCGGGAAUUCCAGGUGUAGCGGUGAAAUGCGUAGAUAUCUGGAGGAACACCGGUGGCGAAGGCGGCGAUCC